rnacentral:rRNA from 1 species
AGUGAACGCUGGCGGUAGGCCUAACACAUGCAAGUCGAACGGCAGCACAGUAAGAGCUUGCUCUUACGGGUGGCGAGUGGCGGACGGGUGAGGAAUACAUCGGAAUCUACUUUUUCGUGGGGGAUAACGUAGGGAAACUUACGCUAAUACCGCAUACGACCUACGGGUGAAAGCAGGGGAUCUUCGGACCUUGCGCGAUUGAAUGAGCCGAUGUCGGAUUAGCUAGUUGGCGGGGUAAAGGCCCACCAAGGCGACGAUCCGUAGCUGGUCUGAGAGGAUGAUCAGCCACACUGGAACUGAGACACGGUCCAGACUCCUACGGGAGGCAGCAGUGGGGAAUAUUGGACAAUGGGCGCAAGCCUGAUCCAGCCAUACCGCGUGGGUGAAGAAGGCCUUCGGGUUGUAAAGCCCUUUUGUUGGGAAAGAAAAGCAGCAGGUUAAUACCCCGCUGUCCUGACGGUACCCAAAGAUUAAGCACCGGCUAACUUCGUG